rnacentral:rRNA from 1 species
CCUACGGGAGGCAGCAGUGGGGAAUAGUGCACAAUGGGGGAAACCCUGAUGCAGCGACGCCGCGUGAGUGAAGAAGGAUCUCGGUACGUAAAGCUCUAUCAGCAGGGAAGAAAAGGACGGUACCUGACUAAGAAGCCCCGGCUAACGACGUGCCAGCAGCCGCGGUAAUACGUAGGGGGCAAGCGUUAUCCGGAUUUACUGGGUGUAAUGGGAGCGUAGACGGCAGCACAAGUCUGGAGUGAAAUCCCGGGGCUUAACCCCGGAACUGCUUUGGAAACUGUGCGGCUGGAGUGCAGGAGGGGUAAUCGGAAUUCCUAGUGUAGCGGUGAAAUGCGUAGAUAUUAGGAGGAACACCGGUGGCGAAGGCGGCUUACUGGACUGUACCUGACGUUGAGGCUCG